AGCGGCGGACGGGUGAGUAACGCGUGGGUAACCUGCCCUGUACACACGGAUAACAUACCGAAAGGUAUGCUAAUACGAGAUAAUAUGCUUUUAUCGCAUGGUAGAAGUAUCAAAGCUUUUGCGGUACAGGAUGGACCCGCGUCUGAUUAGCUAGUUGGUAAGGUAACGGCUUACCAAGGCGACGAUCAGUAGCCGACCUGAGAGGGUGAUCGGCCACAUUGGAACUGAGACACGGUCCAAACUCCUACGGGAGGCAGCAGUGGGGAAUAUUGCACAAUGGGCGAAAGCCUGAUGCAGCAACGCCGCGUGAGCGAUGAAGGCCUUCGGGUCGUAAAGCUCUGUCCUCAAGGAAGAUAAUGACGGUACUUGAGGAGGAAGCCCCGGCUAACUACGUGCCAGCAGCCGCGGUAAUACGUAGGGGGCUAGCGUUAUCCGGAAUUACUGGGCGUAAAGGGUGCGUAGGUGGUUUCUUAAGUCAGAGGUGAGAGGCUACGGCUCAACCGUAGUAAGCCUUUGAAACUGGGAAACUUGAGUGCAGGAGAGGAGAGUGGAAUUCCUAGUGUAGCGGUGAAAUGCGUAGAUAUUAGGAGGAACACCAGUUGCGAAGGCGGCUCUCUGGACUGUAACUGACACUGAGGCACGAAAGCGUGGGGAGCAAACAGGAUUAGAUACCCUGGUAGUCCACGCCGUAAACGAUGAGUACUAGCUGU
rnacentral:rRNA from 1 species